ensembl:snRNA U6 U6 spliceosomal RNA
UCACUUUAGCAGUACAUAUAGUAACUCUGGAAUAGUACAGAGCAGAUUAGCAUUGCCUCAGUGCAAAGAUGAUGGAAUGAAGCAUUCCACAUUUUA